rnacentral:precursor_RNA from 8 species
ACUGAAACCCGUUCAGUGAUUCUCCACUAGAGGGCGAUCUGAGUGAACAUGCGUGAGUGAUGUGCAUUGUAUGGUAUCGCACAGAUCACCCCCUAGUGGAGAAAUUACUUUUGGAAACCGUUCU